GCUCUUAUGGCUCAGUGGUAGAGCGUGUCACUAGUAAUGACAAGGUCCUCGGUUCGAUCCCGAGUAAGAGCA
rfam:Talaromyces marneffei PM1 scf036, whole genome shotgun sequence.